rnacentral:rRNA from 1 species
CCAGCAGCUGCGGUAAUUCCAGCUCUAAUAGCGUAUAUUAAAGUUGUUGCAGUUAAAAAGCUCGUAGUCGGAAUUCGGGUUCGGGCAGGCUUCUGACCUCUGGGAAGAUGGCAGGCUCGGAUCUUUCUGCCUUGUUUCUAUUUCGCACUUAACUGCUCGGAGUAGGGAUUAGGCCGUUUACUUUGAAAAAAUUAGAGUGUUCAAAGCAGGCCUACGCUCUGAAUACAUUAGCAUGGAAUAACACGAUAGGACUCUGGCCUAUCCUGUUGGUCUGUAGGACCGGAGUAAUGAUUAAGAGGGACAGUCGGGGGCAUUCGUAUUUCAUUGUCAGAGGUGAAAUUCUUGGAUUUAUGAAAGACGAACUACUGCGAAAGCAUUUGCCAAGGAUGUUUUCAUUAAUCAAG